UGGGGAAUUUUGGACAAUGGGCGCAAGCCUGAUCCAGCCAUGCCGCGUGUCUGAAGAAGGCCUUCGGGUUGUAAAGGACUUUUGUCAGGGAAGAAAAGGCUGUCGCUAAUACCGACAGUUGAUGACGGUACCUGAAGAAUAAGCACCGGCUAACUACGUGCCAGCAGCCGCGGUAAUACGUAGGGUGCAAGCGUUAAUCGGAAUUACUGGGCGUAAAGCGAGCGCAGACGGUUACUUAAGCAGGAUGUGAAAUCCCCGGGCUCAACCUGGGAACUGCGUUCUGAACUGGGUGACUAGAGUGUGUCAGAGGGAGGUAGAAUUCCACGUGUAGCAGUGAAAUGCGUAGAGAUGUGGAGGAAUACCGAUGGCGAAGGCAGCCUCCUGGGAUAACACUGACGUUCAUGCUCGAAAGCGUGGGUAGCAAACAGGAUUAGAUACCCUGGUAGUCCACGCCCUAAACGAUGUCAAUUAGCUGUUGGGCAACUUGAUUGCUUAGUANCGUAGCUNACGCGUGAAAUUGACCGCCUGGGGAGUACGGUCGCAAGAUUA
rnacentral:rRNA from 1 species